CCUCGGCAGGCUGACAGCCACCUGCACAGGGAAGCGAAGCAGGGAGAGGACUUUUCUUACUGCUCAGGACCCUGGGUCUCCCUUUCUCAAUCCUUCCGAUGAAGGAAGUGGUAACUGAGGUGAUUAUGACGGAAACAGCGGUCAGUCCACGCUUCCUCCGUGCGGCUGUUGGUGCCUUACAGACACCGGAGCCUCUGGGCGACCCUCUGCCUUGUGCACCCCUUAUAAUUACCAUCCCUGCUUACAGAUGAGCAAACCGGUUCUCGGAGAAGUCGAGUGACGCUCUCCAAAUCACACAGCAGACAUAAGGCAUCAGGGAAACUCAAAGGGCACACCGAACAGCGUUGUCCCUGGCCAGAUGGUGGGCAUCCGCACCCGGGAUCAACACACCCCUGGCCGCCCCCAAUCCCGACUGUCAAGAGACCAGAGUCCAGAGCAGAUCGGCACAGGUGCAAGCAAAACUGGGUGGAAAACAAGAGAAACAGAAGGAAAUGAAUCUCGGGAGGUGAAACUGGACUAUGGGUGUGCGCUGGCAAGUUGGGGCAGAAGAGGCUGUGUGCGAGCCAGGGGUGUGUGCAGGCAGGGAGGUGACAAGAGGCAGCGGGCGUGACCUCAUAGGAACUGUGUAUCCAUUAGAGGUGCUUGUCGCCAUGGAGACCAGACACAUGGGCGAGCCGGCCCAGGGAGGCAGAAAUAAAGGAGCUGUAAGGGACGGAUGUUCAAGGAGAGACAGAGUUACACGUUAACGUUGCCGAAGCCUUGGGGUGCAGGCAACUGCCAGGGUGUCCGCGGGAGAGGUGCCGCCGGGCAAGGACAGGAGCUGCAUGCCAGGGGGCUUCUGAGCUGGAUCGUCAGGAGCCUCAUCCCUGCCCCUCUUCUGCUCACCUGCUCAUGUGCUCCGCCCUCCUCCGGGGAUCCUGCCCUGUCCUUGGACGCCUUCCCCAGUGCCGUGUCCUUCAAGAAGCUCUCUUCGGUCCAGUCAGCCCUGACAGACUCCUUCCGGACCCUGCCCGUCCUCCACCCAGCCUUCUCCCACCUUCCCCAGGGCCCCUCCCUGGGGAAGGCCCUUCUGAUGCCUGCCCCAUCUCUUCCCAUGGUGACUUGCCUAUGUCACCUCCUCAGAGAAGCCCUCUCUGAUACACCAACAUGGGAGACCUCCUGUUAUUCUCUGUGGGGUUGACCGAAAUUUUUUCCUUUAUCAUACAGAUUUCCAUUUGUAACUGUUUUUCAUUCGUCUUCUUG
rnacentral:lncRNA from 1 species